rnacentral:rRNA from 1 species
AGAGUUUGAUCCUGGCUCAGAUUGAACGCUGGCGGCAGGCUUAACACAUGCAAGUCGAGCGGGGAAGAGUAGCUUGCUACUUUACCUAGCGGCGGACGGGUGAGUAAUGCUUAGGAAUCUGCCUAUUAGUGGGGGACAACAUCUCGAAAGGGAUGCUAAUACCGCAUACGUCCUACGGGAGAAAGCAGGGGACCUUCGGGCCUUGCGCUAAUAGAUGAGCCUAAGUCGGAUUAGCUAGUUGGUGGGGUAAAGGCCUACCAAGGCGACGAUCUGUAGCGGGUCUGAGAGGAUGAUCCGCCACACUGGGACUGAGACACGGCCCAGACUCCUACGGGAGGCAGCAGUGGGGAAUAUUGGACAAUGGGG